rnacentral:sRNA from 1 species
UCAAGAAAUACUAAGGAGCCUAUGGUA